rnacentral:pre_miRNA from 14 species
UGCUGCUGUUGUUGUAGCUGUUGUUGUUGCUGAUGUUGCUGUUGUUGUUGCUGUUGUUGCAGCAGCCGCAGCAGCGGCAGCAGCAGCUUCAGCCUUU